GUCUUUGGUUUUCUAGCUGUAUGACCGAAACCGCUUCAAAACCGCGGGCUCAUAAAGCUAGCCUACCAAAGUA
rnacentral:pre_miRNA from 1 species